UGAAAAUGUAUCAAGAAAAGUUGAACUGCAACUCUCUCCAGCCUUUUGUGAACACUCAUACUUCCCACAGAAAACCAGCCAGAGAUCCAUCAUUUUAUGUCCCUGAUCCAAGUAAGAGUAUCAAAAGAAGAAAGAUAAUAGGAAAGGUUCAUUGGAUUUUCACAACGACGACAACUAUAACUACUAUGCAAGUGAGUCAACGGCUAUAUGAAUCCUCACUGACCGUGCUACUCCAUUUAAGCUUGUUUCACUCCUUUUGAUUGCAAGACG
rnacentral:misc_RNA from 1 species